rnacentral:rRNA from 1 species
UACGUAGGGGGCAAGCGUUGUCCGGAAUCAUUGGGCGUAAAGCGCGUGUAGGCGGCUCGAUAAGUCUGCUGUGAAAGUCCAGGGCUCAACCCUGGGAUGCCGGUGGAUACUGUCGAGCUCGAGUCCGGAAGAGGCGAGUGGAAUUCCUGGUGUAGCGGUGAAAUGCGCAGAUAUCAGGAGGAACACCAAUGGCGAAGGCAGCUCGCUGGGACGGUAACUGACGCUGAGACGCGAAAGCGUGGGUAGCAAACAGG